rnacentral:rRNA from 1 species
GUCGAGGGGCAGCGCGGGUAGCAAUACCUGGCGGCGACCGGCAAACGGGUGCGGAACACGUACGCAACCUUCCCAAAACUGGGGAAUAGCCCUCCGAAAGGAGGAUUAAUACCCCGUAACACAAUUGAGAGGCAUCUCUUGAUUGUUAUAGCUCCGGCGGUUUUGGAUGGGCGUGCGGCUGAUUAGGUAGUUGGCGGGGUAACGGCCCACCAAGCCAUCGAUCAGUAACUGGUGUGAGAGCACGACCAGUCACACGGGCACUGAGACACGGGCCCGACUCCUACGGGAGGCAGCAGUAAGGAAUAUUGGUCAAUGGACGCAAGUCUGAACCAGCCAUGCCGCGUGAAGGAUGAAGGCCCUCUGGGUUGUAAACUUCUUUUAUCUGGGACGAAAAAAGGGGAUUCUUCCUCACUUGACGGUACCAGAGGAAUAAGCACCGGCUAACUCCGUGCCAGCAGCCGCGGUAAUACGGAGGGUGCAAGCGUUAUCCGGAUUCACUGGGUUUAAAGGGUGCGUAGGUGGGCAGGUAAGUCAGUGGUGAAAUCUUCGAGCUUAACUCGGAAACUGCCAUUGAUACUAUCUGUCUUGAAUAUCCUGGAGGUGAGCGGAAUAUGUCAUGUAGCGGUG